AUGUCGAGGUAUUUUUCGAUGGCUAUGCGCGAUCAAAGAGCCCACUAUAUAUCCAUAGAAGUUCCACAACCAAGCUGUCCAUGAACACUGUCGAGGUAUUUUUAAGACCUUACUCAUAGAUGAAUGAGGUUAUGGUAGUGAAUCAUAAUAGAACCGAAUUUUUCAUAGAAUUUUUAAUGUCAAGUGUUUCCAACAGAACUAAGAAACAUAAGUAUAAUUUAAAAACUCCAUAUUCAUUUUGGUAUAAACCUAUUCUGAUCGGUUACAAAGAGAUUUCAUUUGGACUAUUGAGACCAAUACAUAAUAGGUGCAUCGAACGUGUUUGACGAAAUACUGCAAAGGGGAAAAAAGAGUUCCUCCAUCAGGUGAUACAAAUUUCCAUCUUUGUUGUAAUACUGCGUUGGGUAGGAUUUCCCAUGUACUCUGUUGAAAUUUCUCACUUCCCAUUCAGUGAAGAACAUAAAACUUUAGAACUCCUUUUUUGACCAAGAUGGUUUCGAUCAAGUAUAUUCUUAUUCAAUGUGUUUGUGUGUAUUUAUUGAUUACUACACGAUUUUUAGUUGAGGAACAAAUUUUGGCCAGACAGCAGCUGGUCUCUUCAUUUCUGGUGCAAACUCUAAUGAUCUUGGCAUUUGCGAUGGCGAAAAAUUGAUUAUAUUGAAGGAUUACCAAGGGAACCAGAGUGGGGACAUUUGAGAGGUUUGCAUAAAGCAAUCAAGCUAAGUGAACCAACUUUAGUUUCCGUGUAUUCCGCGAUGACUUGGCCUGUAAAAAAUCUGGAGGUUCAUGUGUUCCGGUGAAAGGCUUCCUGUGCUGCAUUCCUUGCAAACUAUGACACCAAUUCUGCCGCAAAAAUCACCUUUCAGAAUACGCAAUAUGAUCUGCCUCGCUGGUCCAUCAGAGACUCAGUGUUCUCCCUGGCACUAGAGAAUCCAAAACUGACAUUUAGCAACAAUGUGAAGUUGAGAGCUGGAAUUAACAAGAUUUCUUUGUUAAGCGUUGUUGUUGGUCUUCCGAUUGGUUCUCGCUUUCUAACAAAAGUUCGUGUUCUUUGGAUGGCAAUCAUGGUAUUGGACUCAUUAUCAUACCAUUCAUUUUCAUAAUGUUGGUGUGCAUUAUGCUACAUGGAAUACUACGGUUCUUGGUCCGGUUACAUUGGAGGGUCACAAUGAGAGAAAAAGAGACUUAACAAAUCAAAUGUGGUCCUACAAGGUUUGUUUUCACUUUUCAUGAUAUUUUUCUGCUCCACCUUUCUUUUGCUAGACUGCAUAAGCAAUUAUGGAAGUUACAAAAUCUCUUAUGUGUUUCUGGAUCUUGGAUUUGUGGAAUGAUUUGUGACAGGAAAAGAAGACAACGGACUCUACUUCAUUUUCUUUUUCCUGUACAAUGAAGACAACCCCCAGUUUUUGCUUUCCCUCCACGAAUUCCUCGACAAAUCUGACCUUCAAACCCAACCUCAAGAUAGAUCGGCAAAGCCAACAAUAGUGAGAUAUCAUAAAGCCUGAUAUGGAGAAAUCGGGACGCGUAUUUCAUAAAUAAGUAGUUAAUAACCCUCACAUGGUACAAGGUAAUAACCCUCCAAAUAGUUCAAUAAUGCCUUGGUGGCCUUCUAUUGACGGCAUGCAAAUCAAUUCCAUUGGCCUCGAUACAUAGCACAUGAUAACUGUG